UGGUUUCUGUGUCGAGGUUGCUGUUGUGCCCAGGAUUAGGAGAUGAUUUUAGGCCAUCUUUUGUUAGCCUCAUUAUUUUCCCAAACACUGUCCUUAACGAAAAAAAUUUAUCCUUUGUUAUCCACUUUGAGCCUAUUUAGCUUUUAUUCUUUAGCCGGAUGAUAGGGGGUGAUGAAGUAUAUGGGAAUCUUUGUGUGGUGAAUAUCAUAGUGGUUCAUGAAAAAGAAGGGAUGAUAUUAUGAUACUAUUUACUCUUAUGAGCUCUAGAAAAGUUGUGGAAAGAAAAGAAAAAAAAA
rnacentral:lncRNA from 1 species